GGGGUGUUAGUUUAAUGGGAAAACACUACCCUUGCAAGGUAGAAUUAGGAGUUCGAUUCUCCUACGCUCCA
rnacentral:tRNA from 1 species